UGGGGAAUAUUGGACAAUGGGCGCAAGCCUGAUCCAGCCAUGCCGCGUGAGUGAUGAAGGCCCUAGGGUUGUAAAGCUCUUUCACCGGUGAAGAUAAUGACGGUAACCGGAGAAGAAGCCCCGGCUAACUUCGUGCCAGCAGCCGCGGUAAUACGAAGGGGGCUAGCGUUGUUCGGAUUUACUGGGCGUAAAGCGCACGUAGGCGGACUUUUAAGUCAGGGGUGAAAUCCCGGGGCUCAACCCCGGAACUGCCUUUGAUACUGGAAGGCUUGAGUAUGGUGGAGGUGAGUGGAAGUCCGAGUGUAGAGGUGAAAUUCGUAGAUAUUCGGAGGAACACCAGUGGCGAAGGCGGCUCACUGGACCAUUACUGACGCUGAGGUGCGAAAGCGUGGGGAGCAAACAGG
rnacentral:rRNA from 1 species